GGANGAGGNUCUUGGGUUGUAAACCUCUUUUCUCAGGGAAUAAAAAAAUGAAGGUACCUGAGGAAUAAGCAUCGGCUAACUCCGUGCCAGCAGCCGCGGUAAUACGGAGGAUGCAAGCGUUAUCCGGAAUGAUUGGGCGUAAAGGGUCCGCAGGUGGCAAUGUAAGUCUGCUGUUAAAGAAUGAGGCUCAACCUCAUACCAGCAGUGGAAACUACAUAGCUAGAGUGCGUUCGGGGUAGAGGGAAUUCCUGGUGUAGCGGUGAAAUGCGUAGAUAUCAGGAAGAACACCGGUGGCGAAAGCGCUCUACUAGGCCGCAACUGACACUGAGGGACGAAAGCUAGGGGAGCGAAUGGGAUUAGAUACCCCNGUAGUCA
rnacentral:rRNA from 1 species